UACGUAGGGAGCUAGCGUUGUCCGGAAUCAUUGGGCGUAAAGCGCGCGUAGGCGGCCCGGUAAGUCCGCUGUGAAAGUCAAAGGCUCAACCUUUGAAUGUCAGCGGAUACUGCCGGGCUAGAGUCCGGAAGAGGCGAGUGGAACUCCUGGUGUAGCGGUGGAAUGCGCAGAUAUCAGGAAGAACACCAACGGCGAAGGCAGCUCGCUGGGACGGAACUGACGCUGAGACGCGAAAGCGUGGGGAGCAAACAGG
rnacentral:rRNA from 1 species